CUUGAAACUGUAACUCUCGUUCAGGAGUUGGGGAAAAUAAAGAUAGGGGUGUGUGCGCGUGUGCGUGUGUGUUUUCUACCAGACUGGAAUAAUAUAACAGAUAAAAGGAUGGAAGUUAGCAAAGAAGAAUUUAACUGAAGGAGAAGUGUUACGUAGGAAAAAUCACGAGACUGCAGUUGGAAAACUAGGUUGGAGCUCCUCGUGGAAGAGUUUGCAUGACAAACUACAAAGCAGGGAGCCACUGAAGCUACUUUGGAAUACGGGAAUUCACCUGUUUUUUACGUACUCAGCUGCCGUGCAUUGAGCCCUUCCCACAAGCCAGCCGUUUGCUAAGUGCUGUGGAUCAGCAAAGCUAAAAUUCACUUGGAUCCUGACUUCAAGCAGCUUAGCGUCUAGCAGUUGAUAUUAGAUAUGUAUAUAAGUAACCAUAACACAAAAUAGAAAGUGGUGUAUCGUGUGAAGUAAAAACUGGGAAGCAAGAGGGAUUGCUUCCUGCAGGGGAUGAGAGCAAAACGUAAUAGAAGAUUUUCAGGUGAAGGGAAGGUUGAUCUUGGCAGUAAGGAUGUAUUGAAGACUUGAGCAAGAGAAGCCACUUAGAAGCUACCAAGAAAGAAGAUAAUGCCACUUGAGUGAAGUCAUGAGGAGAUUGCUGCUUUGGGAAAGUGAGGGCAGGAAAGACAAGUUGUGCCGGCUCUCUAUGGCUGGAUGAACCCCCCAGCGAGGGUCACUGGAAGAUCCUGCCCCUUCUGGAAAUACAUGCCUCUAUCCUUGCUGGCCAGGAAAUGUGGAAGGGGAUGAGGUCCCCUCUUCAGUUGGCCCAGAUGAGAAGAAGUCGGUUUGAAUCUCACUGGGAGCGUGGCAAUGGUUGCUCUCUGGAGUUCCAGACACAGUGCCCACCCUAGAACCAUGAGGAGGGAAGAGGGGAGGGGCAGCACAGCCAUCCUCCAACAUUGUGCUUCCUUUCUUACCCCAGGCAUCUAGAGGUCUCUUAGGGCACAGAUAAGGAUAAGACUUCACAGUCACUGCCAGCUAGAGCCGAUGAGUUUUAGGGGGUUUGGGGGAGAAAAGUUCUGAAAUCACACUUUCUAGAUGUGUGUUUGGGAAGCAUCAAAUCAUUCUAGUUAAGUGAAUAAGCUAUGGAGUAAGACUGCUCAGUUCAAAUCCUGAGUCUGCCAUCUAAGCCUACUGCCUGGCAUAGAGUAAGCGCUCAGAAAAGAACACCUGUUCUUAGACGUGUGGAUAAGGCCAUCUUGGCUCUUCAAACAAGUGAAGUGCAGUGUCUCACCACUCUUCAAUCCCAAUUCAAAAAGGGGAAAGAACCUUAAAAAUGUUAAGAAUAUAGGCUUAACCUACACAUAUCAAUAGUAUUUAACAAAUGCAAUAUGCAUUGUUUAUUGCAGUGAUAAAAUGUCUACAAAUUUAUAUUUCAUAUAUAUUCCUUUUCAGAUAACUUAGGUUUACCAUAACAGAACAUUAUGGAUGGGGGUCUGUUAUCUAUAUUACAUAUGUAACGACUGUCUCAUAUUUUGUGAUUUAUUGACCAUACCAGAUUACUUCUACCGAGAAGAUUAAUUCAUGAUACCAAUUGGUUUGCAACCGGAAAUCUGAAUUCCAGAUGGCAUAAUGGAUUCUACCUCUUAAACACGUUUUUAUGACCUCUUUGAUGUUGAAGGACUUUGAAAUUAAUCUGCAUAACAUUAGUUCCCCCG
rnacentral:lncRNA from 10 species